CCUACGGGUGGCAGCAGUGGGGAAUAUUGCACAAUGGGGGAAACCCUGAUGCAGCGACGCCGCGUGAGUGAAGAAGUAAUUCGUUAUGUAAAGCUCUAUCAGCAGGGAAGAAAAUGACGGUACCUGAGUAAGAAGCCCCGGCUAACUACGUGCCAGCAGCCGCGGUAAUAAGUAGGGGGCAAGCGUUAUCCGGAUGUACUGGGUGUAAAGGGAGCGUAGACGGCAGUGCAAGUCUGGAGUGAAAGGCGGGGGCUCAACCCCCGGACUGCUCUGGAAACUGUACGGCUGGAGUGCAGGAGAGGUAAGUGGAAUUCCUAGUGUAGCGGUGAAAUGCGUAGAUAUUAGGAGGAACACCAGUGGCGAAGGCGGCUUACUGGACUGUAACUGACGUUGAGGCUCGAAAGCGUGGGGAGCAAACAGGAUUAGAUACCCUUGUAGUC
rnacentral:rRNA from 1 species